CGCCUUUAGCUUUACCAAGUAUUAAAGGUCCUGCCUGCCCAGUGAGCCAAACAACUUUAACGGCCGCGGUAUCCUAACCGUGCAAAGGUAGCGUAAUCACUUGCCUCCCAAUUAGAGGCCCGUAUGAACGGCUAACCGAGGACACCCCUGUCUCAUGAAGCCCUACAAUGAACCUGAGCCCCUAGUACAAACGCUAGGAUAACCACAUAAGACAAGAAGACCCUGUGGAGCUUUAAAAUACCCGCCAUUAUAAACCACCAUUACAUAGUCUACAGACUACCACAAGUUGGACCUCAUACGGCCAUUUUAAGUUGGGGCGACUAUGGAACAAAACAAAACUUCCACGCAAAAGGACUUACUAUCCCCCCUAGACCCACACAUCACCGGGCCCAGCGCACAGACCCAGUACUACUGACUAACGAACCAAGUUACCCCAGGGAUAACAGCGCCAUCCCCUUUCAGAGCCCCUAUCGCCAAGGGGGUUUACGACCUCGAUGUUGGAUCAGGGCACCCAGGCGGUGCAGCAGCUGCCAACGGUUCGUUUGUUCAACGAUUAAUGCCCU
rnacentral:rRNA from 1 species